rnacentral:misc_RNA from 1 species
GAAAUGCGAUAUGUAAUGUGAAUUGCAGAAUUUUUCAGUGAAUCAUCGAAUCUUUGAACGCAUAUUGCACCCAAGUGGGUCACCACAGGGUAUACUUGCCUGAGAAUAUGUAGGUUUGAUUAAUCAAAAAAAUUUUUUUAUAUUAUUUUUUUGAUUAGUAUUGAGGAGAACAUUGACUUGAAAAAAAUUUUCUAUUUUUUUUUCAUUUUGCUCCUUGAAAAUAAAAGUUUUAAAAAAAAGGGUAAUGAAAAAAAGCAUUCUUGAUUAAUCCAGUAAAAUGGAAUAUUUCCUGUGCUUAAAAGUCAUCCUUUUUUUUUACUUGACACCUUCAUGUCAUCAUCAUCAUCAUCAUCAUCAUCCUCAUAAUCUCAGUUCAAGUAAGACUACCCGCUGAACUUAAGC